rnacentral:rRNA from 1 species
ACCCUACCUUUGACAGUGGCGAGAACUCCCGAGAAAUUUGGGAGUGCUCGAAAGAGAACCUGCACACAGGUGCUGCAUGGCUGUCGUCAGCUCGUGUCGUGAGAUGUUGGGUUAAGUCCCGCAACGAGCGCAACCCUUGCCAUUAGUUGCUACGAAGGGGCACUCUAAUGGGACUGCCGGUGACAAACCGGAGGAAGGUGGGGAUGACGUCAAGUCCUCAUGGCCCUUAUAGGUGGGGCUACACACGUCAUACAAUGGCCGGUACAGAGGGUAGCCAACCCGCGAGGGGGAGCCAAUCCCACAAAGCCGGUCGUAGUCCGGAUCGCAGUCUGCAACUCGACUGCGUGAAGUCGGAAUCGCUAGUAAUCGCGGAUCAGCAUGUCGCGGUGAAUACGUUCCCGGGUCUU